AAGGUCUUAGCUUAAUUAAAGUGUCUGGGUUGCAUUCAGAAGAUGUGAGAUAGAGUCUUGCAGGUCUUA
rnacentral:tRNA from 2 species